GUGUAGUGAAGAAGGCUGAAGGGUUGUAAAGCACUUUCAGUAGGGAGGAAAYAGUUGCGGGUUAAUAUCGUGGCGACAUUGACGUUACCUACAGAAGAAGCACCGGCUAACUCUGUGCCAGCAGCCGCGGUAAUACAGAGGGUGCAAGCGUUAAUCGGAAUUACUGGGCGUAAAGCGCGCGUAGGCGGCUUGGUAAGUCGGAUGUGAAAGCCCCGGGCUUAACCUUGGGAAUUGCAUUUGAUACUGCCAGGCUAGAGUGUAGUGAGAGGGAAGUGGAAUUCCAGGUGUAGCGGUGAAAUGCGUAGAUAUCUGGAGGAACAUCAGUGGCGAAGGCGACUUCCUGGACUAAUAUUGACGCUGAGGUCGAAA
rnacentral:rRNA from 1 species